AUCCAGACUCCUACGGGAGGCAGCAGUGGGGAAUAUUGCACAAUGGGGGAAACCCUGAUGCAGCGACGCCGCGUGAGUGAAGAAGUAUUUCGGUAUGUAAAGCUCUAUCAGCAGGGAAGAAGAAGGACGGUACCUGAGUAAGAAGCCCCGGCUAACUACGUGCCAGCAGCCGCGGUAAUACGUAGGGGGCAAGCGUUAUCCGGAUUUACUGGGUGUAAAGGGAGCGUAGACGGCGAUGCAAGCCAGAUGUGAAAGCCCGGGGCUCAACCCCGGGACUGCAUUUGGAACUGUGUGGCUGGAGUGUCGGAGAGGCAGGCGGAAUUCCUAGUGUAGCGGUGAAAUGCGUAGAUAUUAGGAGGAACACCAGUGGCGAAGGCGGCCUGCUGGACGAUGACUGACGUUGAGGCUCGAAAGCGUGGGGAGCAAACAGGAUUAGAUACCCUAGUACU
rnacentral:rRNA from 1 species